rnacentral:pre_miRNA from 13 species
AUUGGGUUGGUAACUAAGUGAUUGCGGAUUUUGCCAUUAAGUGGUAAUGACAAGAUCCGCAAUCAUUUAGCUGCCAACCUA